UACGUAGGGGGCGAGCGUUGUCCGGAAUGAUUGGGCGUAAAGGGCGCGUAGGCGGCUUGUUAAGUCUGGAGUGGAAGUCCUCUUUUCAAGGGAGGAAUUGCUUUGGAAACUGGCGGGCUUGAGUGCAGGAGAGGUUAUCGGAAUUCCCGGUGUAGCGGUGAAAUGCGUAGAGAUCGGGAGGAACACCAGUGGCGAAGGCGGGUAACUGGACUGCAACUGACGCUGAGGCGCGAAAGUGUGGGGAGCAAACAGGAUUAGAUACCCCCGUAGUCCCUGAGCGGG
rnacentral:rRNA from 1 species